rnacentral:tRNA from 1 species
UAGAUUGAAGUCCGCUGGAUUGGGCGAUUGGUUGUUAACUGAUAUUUUGCGGGAUCAAGGCCCGUCAGUCUAG